UACAGAGGGGGCAAGCGUUGUUCGGAAUUACUGGGCGUAAAGGGCGCGUAGGCGGCCUUCUAAGUCGGACGUGAAAUCCCCGGGCUCAACCCGGGAACUGCGUCCGAUACUGGAAGGCUUGAAUCCGGGAGAGGGAUGCGGAAUUCCAGGUGUAGCGGUGAAAUGCGUAGAUAUCUGGAGGAACACCGGUGGCGAAGGCGGCUCUCUGGGACGGUACUGACGCUGAGACGCGAAAGCGUGGGGAGCGAACAGG
rnacentral:rRNA from 1 species